UUUCUUUGUUAGUCAGUGCAAUCCUCUCAAAAGGAUGAACACGAUGAAACACGAAAGCCAUGAGCAUGAAUUGAAGUUGAUAGAGGAGGUGGAUAUUAGUAUGGCAGGGAAAGGUAAGUGUGGAAUGUGUGAUUUGCCUCUUGCUGGAGGCUUUGAUCCCAUCUACACUUGCCUUGAAGAGGAUGGCCCUCUCCAUUUCUUCCUUCACAAAAAGUGUGCAGAAUUACCGACGCAAAUCACACACCUUAACCACCCACAACAUCCGCUCACCCUUGGCCGUCACUUCAAUAACACUCUCCCAAACUAUCCUGUUCC
rnacentral:lncRNA from 1 species